CACGUAGGGACCAAGCGUUGUCCGGAUUUAUUGGGCGUAAAGCGCUCGUAGGCGGUUCGGUAAGUCGGGUGUUAAACCUCCAGGCUCAACCUGGUGACGCCACCCGAUACUGCCGUGACUUGAGUUCGGUAGGGGAGCGGGGAAUUCCUGGUGUAGCGGUGAAAUGCGCAGAUAUCAGGAGGAACACCGGUGGCGAAGGCGCCGCUCUGGGCCGAAACUGACGCUGAGGAGCGAAAGCGUGGGGAGCGAACAGG
rnacentral:rRNA from 1 species